rnacentral:rRNA from 1 species
AAACUUUCAACAACGGAUCUCUUGGUUCUGGCAUCGAUGAAGAACGCAGCGAAACGCGAUAAGUAGUGUGAAUUGCAGAAUUCAGUGAAUCAUCGAAUCUUUGAACGCACAUGCG